rnacentral:rRNA from 1 species
AUUGAACGCUGGCGGCAUGCCUUACACAUGCAAGUCGAACGGCAGCACGGGAGCAAUCCUGGUGGCGAGUGGCGAACGGGUGAGUAAAGUAUCGGAACGUGCCCAGUCGUGGGGGAUAACGUAGCGAAAGUUACGCUAAUACCGCAUACGAUCUAUGGAAGAAAGCGGGGGAUCGCAAGACCUCGCGCGAUUGGAGCGGCCGAGGUCAGAUUAGGUAGUUGGUGGGGUAAAGGCUCACCAAGCCGACGAUCUGUAGCUGGUCUGAGAGGACGACCAGCCACACUGGGACUGAGACACGGCCCAGACUCCUACGGGAGGCAGCAGUGGGGAAUUUUGGACAAUGGGCGCAAGCCUGAUCCAGCCAUGCCGCGUGCAGGAUGAAGGCCUUCGGGUUGUAAACUGCUUUUGUACGGAACGAAAAGGUUUGGCCUAAUACGCUGAACUCAUGACGGUACCGUAAGAAUAAGCACCGGCUAACUACGUGCCAGCCGCCGCCGUAAAAC